rnacentral:lncRNA from 1 species
AGAGGAGAGGGCGGCUGCCACAGCGCCGCCUGCAGGGCUGGAGGGGAUAGUGCCUGUGCUGCCUUUCCAAAGACUAAGGAGCUCUGUGACCUGGUACCCAAGUCACAGUCGUGGUGAUGACAAGGCGCAGCUGUCACACUCAAAGCCUAAUCAAGGAGUUGGGGAGACAUAACGGACGCGCAACCAAAAACUUUCUGUGGUAGACUUUUGUAUCGGGUCAGUGGAACAAAAAGGAGCAAGGCUCCCAGAGAAAAGCUUGGCCAGGAAUUUCCAAUCCAGUGUUACUUAUUGAGCUCCUGGGUGCCUCUUCCUGGGUCUGCCAACCAAGUGGAUGAGCUUCAGAGAGUCCAGAGAAGCACACGAGAUGUUUACACGCUAAUAAGAGAGCACAGGUCCAUCGCUCAGAAUCCCUGUCCUGCUGCCUCAAGAUCGUAUUGGGACUGGGGCAGGGCAACAAGGGCAGGCAGUGCAAGAGCCUGCCGGGCAUCCAAGCCCAGGUGCUGGGACGCAGCCUGGGAGUCGACUCAGCCCCACCUCUAAGACACCCGGUGCACCUCUGAGGUCCUGGAGGUGGCCUCCAGCUCUCCUGUGCCCUGCCUCAAGGAUGCUGAUGUUUUUGUGAUUUGAACCACUAAUAAUCCAUUAAGUGAAACAGAUUUCAAACAGAACAAACACACCCCAAAAACAACAGGAGGAUAGUUACCGAUCAUGUACCCUGUACCAGAUGCCAUGCUUAGGGUCAAAGAAGGAUCAAAACAAAAGCAUCCUUGCCUCCGAGGGACUUGCUGAAGCCUGAAGAGCAGGUGCUUGCACGGAAGCAUAAGUGGAGGGAAGUACAGUGACAAGGGGCCUAGGUCCAGCCGCCACGCCUGCAGAGCUCGAUUCCUCUGCUGCAUACAGGUGACAGUCCCUUGGACCAAGCUCCCAAGCACCAAGCACCUCAGUCUCCUCACGAAGAGUAGCAAUAAUGCUGAUACCUACCUUGGUGUGUUAUGAGGAACACAGUAGUUAAGGGAUUCAAAAUGCUUAGAACCAAGUCCAUGAACAAUGAGACUGGACAUACUUGAGACGUUUGAGACGCUGCGGCAUAACAGGACAAACUGGGGAAAGGACUGAAGAGGAAGAGACCCCAUACUCAUCCCAGGACUCUGGGAUUCUGAAGAUAGCCAGGAAGCUGUAUUUGAGUCUCGGGUCGGCUGCAAUGUAUUUACUUGGGUUUUGAAUACUCAUGACCCUGCUUUGCUCCUCUGUAGAGAUGGUGGAGUUUCCCCACCCCAGCCUCCCUGGGAGAAAGGGGAGAAAAUGAGUGUUUACAUCUCCUUUGUACCCGACACAGUUUUACUGUGAGAACUGAAAGAAAGAACGUGAGAUGUAUUUGAAAAAUUAAAAAUUUGUAAACUAUAAAUCAUAGCCUUGCCAGGUAUUCAUG